UACAGAGGGUGCAAGCGUUGUUCGGAAUUACUGGGCGUAAAGCGCGUGUAGGCGGUCUAGCAAGUCGGGUGUGAAAUCCCUUGGCUUAACCAAGGAACUGCAUUCGAAACUACUAAACUUGAGUAUCGGAGGGGGUGGCGGAAUUCCCGGUGUAGAGGUGAAAUUCGUAGAUAUCGGGAGGAACACCUGUGGCGAAGGCGGCCACCUGGAAGAUUACUGACGCUGAGACGCGAAAGCGUGGGGAGCAAACAGG
rnacentral:rRNA from 1 species